AACCUAUGGUAAGGGCACCUUCUUAAUAAAUCAUUGUAUCUCUCCCAUGCAUCAAAUAAGGUUUCUAAUCGAUCUGAACGAAGGAAGAGAUACCAUUCCUCAACUU
rnacentral:snoRNA from 1 species